AAUCAUUUGUCUUCUAAUUGAGGGCUAGUAUGAACGAGACGACGAUGAUUUAGCUAUCCUUAAAAUUUAAGUAGAAAUUAAUAUCUGCUUUAAAAAGAGCAGCUUACUUGGGGGACGAUAAGACCCUAUAAAAUUUAAUUUUUAGCCAUAAAUGCCGAUUUUGUAGUACGGCAAGAAAAUCUUAAAAAUUAAGCUGGGGCGGCAAUUAAUUUAAACCUUAAGCAUUAUAACACCUAUGCGUGAUUUGGCAGAACUUUUAUAUAAAAAAUAGAACAAGUUACUUUAGGGAUAACAGCACAAUUCCACCAGAAAGUCCGUAUUGAAGGGGGAGACUUGUGACCUCGAUGUUGAAUUGAAGGGCCACGCUAGAGCAGGCACUAGUGUUGGGGGUCUGUUCGACCUAUAAUUCUUCA
rnacentral:rRNA from 1 species